ACGAUCGUGCCCCACAAAUAAGACUCGGAUGCCCUUUGCCGAGCGCGCGGGAGGGCAGCAAGCGGGCCAUUUUCAGGGCGCGUCUCCGGAGCCGCAAAAAGUCUUGUUUUCGCCCCAAAGUGGACGGUGUAGGAGCGGGGGCGGGCCGGGGGCCGCUUCCAACUGCUCCACACGCUCGAAUAGUUGUCAGUAAAAUCAAACUGACGUCAGCCCCGGGGAAAAAGAUAGGUCUCUUUUGUUCUCCCGUUCUCCCCCCGGCUCCCCGGCGAUCAAAGGCAAAAAACAUUUUUUGGAGGUGGGGGGAAAGACAAAAAGGAAAAAAAAAAAAUGGCCAUGCCAAGAGAGAGCUUCCAUUAGAGCUCCUGCCCGGGCGCUGGAAUGUUUAAUGAAUGCAUCGAGCCUUUUGAUCACCCUCGCUCGGCUGGGUUCAGCAGUGCCGGAAGCUCCUUCUAUCAAGAUGGGGAGUACAUUUUUCCACCUUUGACUAUGGGCUGGCCUUGUGACUUGAUUUGACCAAUAGAAUAUGGCGGAAGUGACGUUGGGUGUCUUCUGAGGCUAGGCUUCUAGAAGCUUUGGAGCCUCUCCUUUUGCUGUUUCAUAACCCCAAGACUACCAUGGUGUGAAUAAGCUCAGGAUAGAAGACCUUCUGGAGAGAAAGGCCCAGGUGACCUGCAGAAGCUGUGAUCUCUUGCCAUGGAGCUGCACAUGUGGUUGGUACAGGACUCAGAGAAGCUAAAGGAGAAGAUCCUGCAGGAGGAGGAGCUGUGGGCCCAAGUGUACCCCAUGUCAACACACUGAGCCAGCAGGUCCUGAGCCCUCCACCAAACUCCAUCAGAGAGUAACCCUACUGCUUCAUGCCCACUCUACAAAUCUCAUGCAGAUUUCUCUGAGUGGCCGGCCCUCUCCUGGAACCACACAGGGCAGAACUUGGAGCCAGUUAGCAUAAGCAUCUCCUGCCACCGGAAGCACGACCUAGGUGAGCGCCUCUCUUCCCUCGGCCCCUGUGAGCCAGGCCCUGCCUCCUCGCACAGCUCCCUCUCCCACUCCUGCCUGUUCAGGUCUGUUCCAUGUUUAGAGUUUUCAAAAAAUGGAUCUGGGAGAACAGGCAAACGCAAGUGACCUUGGUUGGGCGUCCUGCGUCUGGAAUAUACAGCGCCCUCUAGAGGACGAAGGCUGCAGCGGCCUCCCAGUUAACUGUUCAUUUCUAUGGCGCUUAUCAACGUGUCAUCAGUCUCUGUGAUGGGAAACGAAAGGGGGACCUGGCCAGAUGGGUAGAAAGAAGAUGAGGGGAUAAUUUAUCUUAGCCUCCUUGUCUCCCAAAGCCAAGACUCUGUUCCUGGGCUCCUAGAAGGGAGAGGGGUUAGCAUGACAAUUCCUGGCAGCUCAUAUAUAUGGAACCGCAUGGAUAUUCACGCCACAACUCACCUGUGUGAUGGAGAUAAGGGAAUUUUAUUAGUUUGGAAUUAAUUUGGAAUUAAUGAUUUGUCUUCGUGAUGAGUCUUCUUUUUCCUUUUUUUUCUGGGGGACAGGGAGGCUGUGAGGAAUAUGUUAUGCAUUGUAAGGCUGUCUACCCUCUGCUGAAUUGAAGAAGAAAAACUUAGAAACCUAGCCUUGUACGAGUUCCCUUCUCCCAGAGGCCGGGGACAUCCACGUCUGUAGUGCUUUUGAUUAGAUCUGCUUUUUGCCCAUGGCAGUUAUCCAUAAAAACACUCUUUUCCUAUAUAUAUCAUUCGAGCCUCAAUACAUGGUACAGUUGCUUCUUUCUUUCUUUCCUUUUUUUUCAACAAAGCCAAACAGGGUGGUGUUUUUCCUUAGCAAAAUCUCCCUCCUUUUUGGCUCUAUGCCUGGCUCUUCCCAAGGUGCUUGGAAAGAAAGGAAAAAACUCAGAAUCAUUUCCUUUUGUUCUUGACUGAUUCAUGGGUGGAGGGAGAAAGGAGUGGGUUUCAGCUUGAAACAUAGAACGAUGUUCAAACAGUUUUAAAAAAUGGCCUUUAUUAAUCCUCAUUGUGUGGCACUGCCCCUUGAAUUGCAGGCUUUUUGAGUUUUUUCCUUUUUCUUUUUUAUCCAUCUUUGAAUGCCCAGCAUCUAGCACAGUUCCUGGCACAUAGUGGGUGUCUGGUGAGUGUAGAAUGUUGAGAUGCUAGGUCCCAUUGUAGGCCAUAGGGGCAAUCCCUUGUAAGCUAAGUACUUAUUAAUAUAUACCUAGAUGAAACACAACAUUUGUGACUACACUUCUCUACCGCAAAAGCUUUGUUCGUGGUGUGCUGUGGCGUAAAUCAGUCUUAACUUUGCACAACCCUAAACAAGAGUUAUGUAGGAGCAGGAAAAUCAAACCUGUGCUUUCUUAAUUAUAGCAUUGGUUGGAAAGCAAUUAUUGACCUGUAACAUCUCGUUAUUUGUCUUUCUGUCUAUCCAUAUAUCCACGUAUCUGAUGAAGUCAAGAGGUCAGAUAAGAACAGAGGCAGAAAUAUGGUCUUUCUAAUGUAACUGAUAAGAAUCUGAACUGGCGUGAAUCUCUGUGACUGGGGUCCAUUUCCAGCAGCAGAUAGAACCAAACCAGCAGCCCCAGGAGGAAGACCCUUCAGCAAGAUGGCUUUGCUAAUAUCAUUAUGUGCAAAAAGGGAUACGCUUUUACAAGUGUAUUUUACG